rnacentral:rRNA from 1 species
UACGUAGGGUGCAAGCGUUAAUCGGAAUUACUGGGCGUAAAGCGUGCGCAGGCGGUUUUGUAAGUCUGUCGUGAAAGCCCCGGGCUCAACCUGGGAAUUGCGAUGGAGACUGCAAGGCUUGAAUCUGGCAGAGGGGGGUAGAAUUCCACGUGUAGCAGUGAAAUGCGUAGAGAUGUGGAGGAACACCGAUGGCGAAGGCAGCCCCCUGGGUCAAGAUUGACGCUCAUGCACGAAAGCGUGGGGAGCAAACAGGA